rnacentral:rRNA from 1 species
UACGUAGGAGGCGAGCGUUGUCCGGAAUUACUGGGCGUAAAGAGCGUGUAGGUGGCGCGAUACGACCGGUGUGAAAUCCUCCGGCUCAACCGUGGAGGGUCAUUGGAAACUGGGAGACUUGAGUGCAGAAGAGGAAAGUGGAAUUCCAUGUGUAGCGGUGAAAUGCGUAGAGAUAUGGAGGAACACCAGUGGCGAAGGCGACUUUCUGGUCUGUAACUGACACUGAGGCGCGAAAGCGUGGGGAGCAAACAGG